GGGGUAGUAUCAUAAAAGUGAGUCAGGCAGAGUGAGGCUCACAGGGAAUGGCACAGCUCGCUCACACUGCCUCCACUCGCCUUUAGAACUAGUGGGGUCUUGCCCGAUGCAAUUCAUCCAGGCACUGUGACAGGCAUCUUGCAGAGCACAGCGCUCAGAACUUUGGUCACUGAAAGAAAGCAAGUGAAAGUUACAUGUAUCUUCAAUCUGUCUUACAAGAAUGGGUGGGAUGCAGCAGUGGAAGAAAUACAGGACGUACACCGCCGUUCUUUUAUAAACAUUGGACAUGUUUGAACUAAAUGAGCUAGAAUAGCAAUCACUAGCUAAGCUCUGGUUGCUCACAUCUGGGUUGCGUGACUCCAGCUAAGAACAGAAUGUGGCUGCUACAGUCAUUAACAAUUUGAUGAAAUCAAGAGGAUAUAUUGUACCAUGAAUGGAAAUUCUCAAGAUCUGUACAUGCUAGCUUUUCUCCUAGAAGUUCAGUUAAAUGCAGGCAAGCGAUUGUUUUUUUCCUUUUGAUCUCUUGAGAUUCUAUGUUUCAGCCUGCUUGUCUUACUUUAAUUCCUUUGAUAGAAGAUCCCUUUUAUCAUGCAUGCUAAAAUUGUUCAAUAAGCCUAGCUGAAUGCCAUGAUGCAACUAAAUAAGCAGUUUGUGUAGACACAAACUUUUAGAAUUUUAUGUAUCACUUUAUUUUUUUCCAUAUGUCACAUCAGUAGACUUUGCAAUACCAUAUCAUGACUUGUGAUAUUUUUGUUGUUGCUGUUGAGCUCCUGCUUCUGGAUGUUUUACUUUAAAAUAAAUGUAAAAAUAGCUUAUA